AUUGAACGCUGGCGGCAUGCCUAACACAUGCAAGUCGAACGAGUGGCGGACGGGUGAGUAACGCCUGGGAAACUGCCUGGUGAAGGGGGAUAACUGCUGGAAACGGUAGCUAAUACCGCAUACUAUUAGAUCUGCCCAGUUCGGAUUAGCUUGUUGGCGGGGUAAAGGCUCACCAAGGCGACGAUCACUAGCGGGUCUGAGAGGAUGACCCGCCACACUGGGACUGAGACACGGUCCAGACUCCUACGGGAGGCAGCAGUGGGGAAUUUUGGACAAUGGGCGCAAGCCUGAUCCAGCCAUGCCGCGUGUAUGAAGAAGGCCUUCGGGUUGUAAAGUACUUUGAGCAGGGAAGCGGUACCUGAAGAAUAAGCACCGGCUAACUCCGUGCCAGCAGCCGCGGUAAUAC
rnacentral:rRNA from 1 species